rnacentral:lncRNA from 1 species
AUCCAAAAAAGUCCUAAUUUAUUUUCAUCUUCCCAUUUUGUACCUUAACACCUUCUCCAUACUUCAGAAACUGAUUUCAAUCUUCACUUUUUCAAGACAUCUAAGAAUGGGUAUUCAAAGAAAAAACCAAACACAUAAACAAGAGCAGAAAUGUUCUAAAUGAGAAUCACAACAGUUAGCAUGGCAGAAGGCUUGCUGGGUGCAUCUGAAGCACAGCCAAAGGGAACCAAGAAAAUAAAAGUCCCAAUAGCUGCAAUCUAUAUACUGCCCCAAUUAAGAUACCAACAAGCCACAAUGCAGACCAAUGAAUGCAUAAACUUAAGCUAAUUCAUUCAUUAUAUAUGUGAUAUAAUAGCGAAGUUAGAGGAUACUUGGCUAAGUUUAUAGGCUGGUCAAGAUGAGCUUAUAAGCUUUCUAACAGCAUCUUAACACUUUUUAAGCAUUUGGCAAACACUUACGAACUUAUAAGCUCUCACAAUAACAUUUCUAGAAAAAUGAUCAUUCCUAUUUUUUUUUAACAGAGUUCCUAAGCUCUCUAAAAAUUUUUGUUGCAAAUAAGCCAAUGAAUUUCAAGAAUAUAUAUAUAUAUAUAUGUAUGUAUACAUCGAUCAAUUCUACAUACUAAAAAUAAUAAAAACUGUCCUUUUCCGUUAAUUUAAGGUAAUUUACAUUUAUAAGUUGUUCCUUUACCAAACAUGUAAAUAACAAUUCAGCUGCUUAUUUAUAAAAAGAUCAUAUCAGCUUGUAUGCUAUCAGGAAACUUAUAAGUCAUCGAUCUAUAUACUCUUAUAAAAUAAACUAAGGCAAGCACAAAUCUUAGAAUGUCUAGGUUAGUGAAGCAACUGGAAAGAAAUUGUUGAUAACCAUAACCUCAUUUGCCUUCCAAUUUAGCAAGUAAAAUCAGUACCAAGGUCAACCCAAAAUGGUGGCAGAGCAUGUGCAUAACAAAAACAAAAAUCAAUAGACUUAAAGCAGACCUUGUCUGGGAGAAAUUCACCUGAUUUUUACCAGCUGUUAACUAUCAUAAUGUGACUGUCACAAAUGAAAAUGAUACAGACAGAAAUAUCUAAACAAGCAAGAAUGGCCAUGAUACAUGUAUACUUAUAGAACAACAAAAGGAAACUUAAAGAGCUAUAACUGUGCAAUAAAUUUUAGGAAUCCUUCAUCCAUGUUCUUACGUCAAAUGAAAUCAUAGCCAGUAGCAAGAGAAAACACACAUUUUAAUUGAAAGACCUCAAAGAAACAGAUUUUACCUCAAUGGUCCCGAAAGUUCACCAAAUUCCUCAGGUAAAAGUUCGAAAUUCUCCCUCUGUUCCCUCUUACCACGAAGCCCAAAUGAACCCUGAAAUCUCCAAGAAAAACCCCUUGGAUUUGUAUCUGCAACCCAGAAGAUUUCCCUUCCCAAUUUCUCCCCACGCAAAAUCAAUCUCUCAAUUGUUCUUUUCCCAGUUCCCUCAUUUCGCCCUAGUCCCUUCUCUCUCUGCUCCCUCCUUUUCCUCCACCAAGAAGCUCUCUCUGGCUCUCUCCUUAUAGGCCAAACAAAAACUCUUUCCGUUGUCUGUCAAUCCUUCUGGUGGUCUAUCUUUUCAUCGAUCUGUAUCCCGCACUUCCAUCCAGAGACGUCGUCGUCUCUUUGAAGCUCAAUUAGGUCUUUUCCAAAUGAGUUUCUCUUUCGCGCCUUUCUUGUUUCUUUUCGUCGCUCGGAUUUCUCUUAAAUGGGGAUUUUGGCACUCUUUUGAAUAUUAACACCAAAAAAAUUAAAUAAAUUAUUAAAUUAUUCAUUUAAAAAAUAAAUUUUUCAACUAAAACAAUAAUCGUAUUUUCUACUGAAAAAAAAAAUAAAAUUAUUAUAACUAAAAAUUUCUAAAUCUCAGUUUAUAAUACUUUAUGUUAUCUAUUUUAAGCGUAGAAUUAGUAAGACCCAAAAAAAAAAAA